GUCGCGAUAGCUCAAUCGGAUAGAGCACCAGCCUUCUAAGCUGGGGGUUACAGGUUCGAUCCCUGUUCGCGACG
rnacentral:tRNA from 2 species